GCGAACUCCCUCUUCUUCUUCCUCCCCCUCCCACCCCCUCUCCAACCUAGGACCCUAACCCGUAGGGUCCUCUGUUAGAGUCUAGGGUGUCGCCAAUGCCGGAGAAGAAGAGGAGGUCGCCGGAGUUGGAGGAGAAGGCCUGGAGCAUGAAUCACAAAGCUCAUUCAGUGGUCCAAAAUCUGUAAGAUUUGAAGAUGGAUUUUCUAUCGAUAGAAGGUUAGUAAUUCCGUUUUAAAAAUUGUCUAAAAUACUUUUAAGCUUUGGCAUUUUAGGGAUGGGCUUAAGACAAUUUAAAUUUUAGAGAGCACUCAUUAGUUUGCCUUGUGUAUAUAUAUAGAAGCAUGGGCUCGAAAAGUUUUAACCUCCCUAGCUAGAGGCACUAUUUUGGUGAUUAAUUUUCCCAUUAAGUAAUGAGAUAAAUUUUAGAUAAUGGAAACUUUUAUUGAUCUCAGAUAAUCAUUUCAAGAUGAUGCACUAAAUCUAAGACCACAUCCUAUCUCUAAAUAACCGGGAUAUACAAAAAUAUAACCAUUUCAAAGAAAAACAGGAAAAAGAAAAAUGACAUGACAACAAAUUCAUGCCUCAGCAAGCUACAACCACAUAUUAUCUUCAUUUUCAUGCUCCACCACAUAGCAACAUUUGGACCGCGAAAAAGUCAUUCCAAAAGCAAUGUCUCCAAAAAGGAAGUGACACAUGCACAUAUGGUCGUUGCCAUGACUAACUAGCAAAAGCCAGACCAUAGGUUUUCAUCCUUCAAAUCAAAAUUUUCGAACUCUAGACAAUUCCUUUAAUAAGAAACUAAUUACCGCCAUCGCCAGGUACACUAGCUAAGGUCAGAGAACCCCGGAGUUGAGGAACCAGUACUCAAUGAGCACGACCUAGUCGAAGUCCCCCGGUGCUACCAUAACCGGCCCCUAGUUCCGAGCCGAUACCACCAUACACAUCCUAUCUAGUCUUAGCCUAGCUAACUGCAAACGGCGGCGAACCUGCAACCUUCUUUAGAGAUGCUACCCCAUGAUAAGUACAAUCCCAAAAUCCAUAUCUAGGGUACAUCUGAAGAGAGGAUGAGAUGCAUGUCAAUGUAAGCAAAUAUGUGAUUCAAAGCCAAGAUAACUCUAGCUAGACUACAUAGUAUGGAAGCUCUUGACUACAUGUUGGUAUGAAGACAUCGUCACAAAGAAUUAAUAGCCUCUCCGGCAAGGAUCUGAUCACCAAACUCUUGCCGACGGUCAGGAGCUAGCUAGUAUAUGGAUCCAGUCCGGCACCCCCGGUGGCAGUAAUGUCCCUGAAACAGCAUAUAACUAUUACAAGACACAUACAAACAAGUCAUUGUAUGAGGUUGAGAUAUGAUUAACAUAUUGAAGGAAAGAAUGAUUCUCUCAAUAGUUUUUAAGUUUGUGGAUAUACUACUAUAUAACAAGUGUACAUAAUUUUUCUCUCUUUCUUUUUUCACCAAGGUUUUGUCCUAGUACGUACUUCGGUAUCGCAAUUUAAUGCCACUACAAAAUGAUUAUACUCUCUGUAGACACACACAACAAACCUCAACAAAAACAUAUGCUGCAAUGAAUAUAGACAUUAAUAAAACGUUCUUCAUUUAUAUAGAGACAAACAUAAUGCACUAUACUUAGAGAACAAUGGUGGAAUGUGGAUUGAUAUAAACAUGUACAUAUAUAUAUAUAUAUAUGAAGUAACGGACAAUAUAUAUAUGGAGCUGAUUGAAAUUAAGUUAUUCACUACAGGUUGGUGUCCCGGCCGGAAUACAAGUGGAUGAUAGCAUCAGGAGUCAAGAGUGUCGGCUGCUGGUUCACAUCAAUCUACAGGCAUAUGUUUAUGUACGCAAUUUUAAAGAUCUUACGUACGAUAUAUAUAUAUUGG
rnacentral:lncRNA from 1 species